rnacentral:siRNA from 1 species
UCUUCAACGAGGAAUUCCUAGU